rnacentral:rRNA from 1 species
AUACGUAGGGGGCGAGCGUUGUCCGGAAUGAUUGGGCGUAAAGGGCGCGUAGGCGGCUUUGCAAGUCAGUAGUGGAAGUCCAUUUUUCAAGGAUGGAAGUGCUACAGAAACUGCGGAGCUUGAGUGCAGGAGAGGUUAUCGGAAUUCCCGGUGUAGCGGUGAAAUGCGUAGAGAUCGGGAGGAACACCAGUGGCGAAGGCGGGUAACUGGACUGCAACUGACGCUGAGGCGCGAAAGUGUGGGGAGCAAACAGGAUUAGAUACCCUGGUAGUCCACACUGUAGACGAUGAAUGCUAGGUGUAGGAGGUAUCGACCCCUUCUGUGCCGCAGUAAACACAGUAAGCAUUCCGCCUGGGGAGUACGGUCGCAAGAUUAAAACUUAAAUGAAUUGACGGGG